UACGUAGGGAGCAAGCGUUGUCCGGAAUCAUUGGGCGUAAAGCGCACGUAGGCGGCUUUGCAAGUCCCAUGUGAAAUCCCACGGCUUAACCGUGGAAGUGCAUGGGAAACUGCAGAGCUUGAGUACUUAAGAGGAUCGCGGAAUUCCCGGUGUAGAGGUGAAAUUCGUAGAUAUCGGGAGGAACACCAGUGGCGAAGGCGGCGAUCUGGGAAGAUACUGACGCUGAGGUGCGAAAGCGUGGGGAGCAAACAGG
rnacentral:rRNA from 1 species